UGGGAGGAUGGGGGUGGUGCCUUUCUUUGACGGCAUCAACUCCUAUUUGUUAGCCAUGAGGAAUUACUGCUCGGUCAAGGGGAGGGGAAAGGCUUGGGCCUACCAAUCCCGAUAGGACAUCAUAAAGGAACAGACGUGCUACAAUGGCCAGGACAAAGGGUCGCGAUCCCGCGAGGGUGAGCUAACUCAAAAACCCCGUCCUUAGUUUGAAUUGCAAGCUACAACUCGCCUACAUGAAGCCGGAAUCGCUAGUAGUCGCUAGUCAGCCAUACAUCGGUGAAUUUGUUCCGGGCCUUGUACAUGCCACCCGUCAAACCAUGGGAACUAACCAUGCCCAAAGUCGUUACCUUAACUGCAAAGGAGGGGAUGCCGAAGGCAGAAAGUUUUUUUUUUGUUUGUUAGUUUUA
rnacentral:ncRNA from 1 species